AGGUCUUUCACGUACUUGUGC
rnacentral:siRNA from 1 species